GUUCCUUCGGUCCCCUUGCCCCCUUUUUGCGACUCCUCUCUAUGAUGGGUCCCUGUGAACAACCAGCGCCAUUCCACCACUGGUUUUGAGGUCAGAAAUAGCAAGGCGUUGGCUCUCCUCCUGCACAGCAAGCUGAUAGAUCCGACCGAGUGUUAACAUCGGCUCCAUGGUAAGUAUUUGUGACCGAAACGAGAGGUAUGACUCGUUUAAAAUCAAGAGGAAUCUGGUAAUCUUCUCUCUUUCUCAAAUCGCUUGGUAUUGUCGCAAAGUCGAGUCGGGUCCCUCAAAUUUCUCCUCCACCGCUUCUAAUUCGUUCCAUAAGGCCUAGAGUUUGUUGUAAAUCACGACUAUGCUUAGAUUCCCUUGUUUUAGAUCUGAAAGUUGCUGGGUUAGUGAAAAAAUUCUCACUCGAUCUAAUUUUCCAUACAUUUCCUUUAUAUUUUCCACAUCCGUUUCGAAUCCUCCGUCUAAGGUAAUCCGGCCGCGACUUCGGAGGUGAUGCAGUUUCCGAUCCAUGUUCGGACAAGUUAGUUGCAUUUCCUCCAUAGUCAUGCCUACUGCUCGUCGGAUGGAAUUGGGACUGUCUCGUCGAUAAAUCCAUCUUUGUCUUUGGUCACCAACGCUCGCUGGAACUCUCAUGCCUAGCUCGAGUAGUGGUCGAUGCCGAACAGUUGCUGGGUAAUGAGUCCCAGCUUCGGUCCAUUGGCCAUUGUGGUGUAGAGCGGGUCAUUGGGUUCCAGGCGUCCGCUAGCGGCGACAUACGGAUACGGAAGAAAUCCAAGUUGGGGAACCGGGUAGGGUUUCAACCCCGAACCCGGAUUAUCCGAUUUAGACAUACGGCCCGCAUAAAACAUACCCAGCCCGAUGGAUGAGCCUGCCCCAGGAACGAUUGGUGAGCCUCCAUCGGGUUGGGCCUGCACUUCGUGGCCUUGAUUCAUUUGUGUGGGCCCAUAAAACCAUGGGCCAGGCGCCAUCUGGACAAGCAGCCACUAGAUGGACUAGCCCGCGAUGGGUUGUCCCUGGUUGGGUUGGGCCUAAGCCCUCUGUUCUUGAGGUCCAAUACCAGCAGACAAAUCCGAGACAUCAACUUCUUGCCGUAUGACGGAUUCCUCUGGUGUUCCUUCCUCUGGCGUCAAUGAAGGAUCUUUAGGCAUGGUGUCGGUAAGUGUAAAGGGUAAGGAAAAAAAAUGUUUGGUUUUUUAAGAGAUUCAGACACUGAUUCCUACACCGGAGUGCUAACCUUGUUUUGCAGGUUAGAGUUCCUGCAGCAACAAAAGGGCAAUUCUAUCUGGUGGGCAAUCAAGUAUGAAAGUUGCGGAAGCUAGGUCAAGAGUGUCUACUCUGAUACCAUGACAAAAACUGAAGAAGAAGGGAAAAGAUGUGGGAAUUUUCUAUGUAUUCUCAUUCACUGUAUUGUAAUGUACAAAAGGAGUCAUUAUAUAAAACAA
rnacentral:lncRNA from 1 species